GGCAGGCAGGCUGGCUUGUUUGAAUCUCAAGGUUUAGAACGGAGAGAGAGUUUGAGGGGGUUCAGAGCGUUCGUGCGUGUGCCGAGGUGCGAGUCUCCGAGAUUUAACCUCGUUUUCUAUCCAUGCGUUGUUUUUUGCGAGUUGCUAAAUUGUGAGUUUUGAAGGGGGGGAGCUUCCAGGACCCCUUUGCAACGCUGACCUCGUUUGUAGCUCCAGUAGUGCCCACCGACAACUGGGUCUAUCUGUUGUUGUAUUGGCCAGUGGAUCUGCGUGUCGAUGUUGAAUUCUCUCUCUCUCUCUCUCUCUCUCUCUCUCUAUAUAUAUAUAUAUAUAUAUCUGUCUAUCACUCUCUCUCCCUCCCUCUCGUUGCUGGUCCUUUCUUCAGCUGCACAAUCGACUGCCGCACGUCUUUGGGCGUGAUAGCGGGACGGAAACGCUGGAUGAGAUUUUGACAUGCCAAGUCGCACCGAAAAGGAGACAAGGAUCACAGUUUUGUUCAGUUCUUUGCAGAGGUACUUUGCGUCUGGUUGCCUGUGGGAGUGUGGCGUUCAAAUUAGAGCGAGGGACAUACCUUGGGAGAGAGAGAGAGAAGUGCUUUGUUUGCCUGGUGGGGAAUUACAAACCAUCCACACUAUCAAGCUAGGUAGCUUUUCCGUCUACUGUUUCGCUACUCUUGAUAGUGGUCUACUUCAUGCGCAUCAAUUUGUUCUGCUGUAAUCCAAUCUCGGUAUGGUACGGGCACUAAAGAUAGAUCUUAGUCAUGUUAACCCUGUAGGCGAGUCUAGGUCGAAGAUGGAGACCUCGUGAUCAAGAGCGAGCACAACGCACAGGCACAGGAGGAUGGUAGCUACAACACGCACGUUACUCUGCCAGAUAACGCUAAAUAUAAGGUAUUUGUGAAACGCUUUUGUCAACUUCUGAAGCGAUAUACGCGUACUCUGUGAGCAUUUUCAAAAUUUGACCCAUACAGACAUAAAGGUUAAGUUAGAAGAUGAAAAAAAUGUAGUGCACUCAAAUGAACUUCAGCGUAAAUAUUUUCAGCAGCAGUUGACUUGCUUCUUGCAAAUGGUAAGUUUUCUGAAGACUGAUGAAAUACUGGAGAGAAUUGAUACGACCCAGUGAGGUCACGAUAGAGUCUAAGUAAUGCGGAACUCCAACUUUUUUCUCCUACGAAUUGCCGGUAUCGUGACUUCAAACACUUCUGGGGCCAGUAUUAUCCAACUUCUCAGGAUCUAGACAUUUCCAUGUAGCAAUUGACCAAACACCCUGCAAAUCUCCAUUCGGCCUGCACAACUGCCUCGAACCAUAUGGCUGAACUCUGGCAACGGGAUAUUGAAGUAUGUCAACGCUGGCACGGGCUGGGACGUUGCCGGAGCUUCGUUCAUGUCCGACAGUUGCUCCACCCAUUUUCGAAGUUGCGUUCAAUGCAACUUCGACAACUUAACGCGACUCUACACGGGUUUCUCUGAUAAGAUUGAUUCGUUGAAGCAUCUCACCCGAAGAGUUUUGAACACCGCCCUUCUCUCCAUUAAGAUACUGCGUCUCACUUAUCCAACCAUAACCUCUACUUAUCUAGAGCUUAGGUGAAGCAAUCGCCGCAGUCCACGAAGAAUUCAUCACAUUUUUUUGUAUUCUUUUUGGGAACCCACUGCUGCAUGUUACUUGAACGGCGAAGUUUACAAACACCUGGAUCCCAUAACAACUAUCAACGCACGGAUUUUCUGUAGCUGAAAAGUGGUUCAUGCCCUCGAAGUAAGACGUGACCGCCUCUCGAGACCAAUCCCCUUGGUCAUUGUUGCCAAGGACUGUAGCUCUCGAAAUCACAGCCUCCGUCGCCUCGCCAAAUGUCAUGUCCACAGACGCAACUGGGUGCUUACAAUCCUUCUACGUUCUCUCGUACUCACCGAAACCAACACCGAAUUCACAAUCCUCGCUGUUUCCAACCCGAGAUCAUGAGUUGAGAGGGUUUCCCUACUCGCUAGAAUCACCACAACCAAGUUCAGAACCAGGUUCAGUAGCACCGACAAGCUACUUGUAGUUCCCCCAUCUUGGGCUACAAAUCGCAGGCAGGUUGUAACUUUGAUGAAUCAAUCACGAAGACAGUCCGUGUUUCUAAUCGUAGAUUUCAAAGCGGCCGAUCUCUCGAGGACCUAGCGCAGAAUUUGCAUGGAUUUUCUAGUCCAUGCAACUGGUGUGUCGGUGUAGCAGCAGCAGCUUGCGAGUCUUCACGGUGAACGCAAUUAGCAGCAGUUGAGACUUCGGUGAGAGGGAUUAAUGAAGCUUCAACGUGACGAGGAACUUCAACUCUCACUCCGAAGCUUUUCUUACCUCGGCCAACAACUCUCGUUGCUUCGGCCGACAUCGGAUGAUACCAAUGUCAUCGUUUAAUGUACGGUUCGGAAGAAGGUUUUAGUAAAAGUUUGCUAAAGUUAAAGCA